rnacentral:rRNA from 1 species
CACACGUGUUACAAUGGGGGGUACGAGAGGGCCGCUACCACGCGAGUGGAUGCCAAUCCCUAAAACCCCUCUCAGUUCGGACUGGAGUCUGCAACCCGACUCCACGAAGCUGGAUUCGCUAGUAAUCGCGCAUCAGCCACGGCGCGGUGAAUACGUUCCCGGGCCUUGUACACACCGCCCGUCAAGCCAUGGGAGCCGGGGGUACCUGAAGUGCGUAACCGCGAGGAUCGCCCUAGGGUAAAACUGGUGACUGGGGCUAAGUCGUAACAAGGUAAC